GAGUUUGAUCAUGGCUCAGGACGAACGCUGGCGGCGUGCCUAAUACAUGCAAGUCGAGCGAAUUGAUGGGAGCUUGCUCCCUGAUAUUAGCGGCGGACGGGUGAGUAAUGCCUAGGAAUCUGCCUGAUAGUGGGGGACAACGUUUCGAAAGGAACGCUAAUACCGCAUACGUCCUACGGGAGAAAGCAGGGGACCUUCGGGCCUUGCGCUAUCAGAUGAGCCUAGGUCGGAUUAGCUAGUAGGUGAGGUAAUGGCUCACCUAGGCGACGAUCCGUAACUGGUCUGAGAGGAUGAUCAGUCACACUGGAACUGAGACACGGUCCAGACUCCUACGGGAGGCAGCAGUGGGGAAUAUUGGACAAUGGGCGAAAGCCUGAUCCAGCCAUGCCGCGUGUGUGAAGAAGGUCUUCGGAUUGUAAAGCACUUUAAGUGGGAGGAAGGGCUGCAAGUUAAUACCUUGUAGUUUUGACGUUACCAACAGAAUAAGC
rnacentral:rRNA from 2 species